AACGAACGCUGGCGGCAGGCCUAACACAUGCAAGUCGAACGCUCCGCAAGGGGAGUGGCAGACGGGUGAGUAACACGUGGGAAUCUUCCUAUUGGUACGGAAUAGCUCAGGGAAACUUGGGGUAAUACCGUAUAAGCCCGUGAGGGGAAAGAUUUAUCGCCGAUAGAUGAGCCCGCGUCUGAUUAGCUAGUUGGUGAGGUAACGGCUCACCAAGGCGACGAUCAGUAGCUGGUCUGAGAGGAUGACCAGCCACACUGGGACUGAGACACGGCCCAGACUCCUACGGGAGGCAGCAGUGGGGAAUAUUGGACAAUGGGCGCAAGCCUGAUCCAGCCAUGCCGCGUGAGUGACGAAGGUCUUCGGAUUGUAAAGCUCUUUUGCCAGGGACGAUAAUGACGGUACCUGGAGAAUAAGCCCCGGCUAACUUCGUGCCAGCCGCCGCAGUAACAC
rnacentral:rRNA from 1 species